GAUGAACGCUGGCGGCGUGCCUAAUACAUGCAAGUAGAACGCUGAAGCUUGGUGCUUGCACCGAGCGGAUGAGUUGCGAACGGGUGAGUAACGCGUAGGUAACCUGCCUGGUAGCGGGGGAUAACUAUUGGAAACGAUAGCUAAUACCGCAUAACAGUAGAUGUUGCAUGACAUUUACUUGAAAGGUGCAAUUGCAUCACUACCAGAUGGACCUGCGUUGUAUUAGCUAGUUGGUGAGGUAACGGCUCACCAAGGCGACGAUACAUAGCCGACCUGAGAGGGUGAUCGGCCACACUGGGACUGAGACACGGCCCAGACUCCUACGGGAGGCAGCAGUAGGGAAUCUUCGGCAAUGGGGGCAACCCUGACCGAGCAACGCCGCGUGAGUGAAGAAGGUUUUCGGAUCGUAAAGCUCUGUUGUAAGAGAAGAACGAGUGUGAGAGUGGAAAGUUCACACUG
rnacentral:rRNA from 1 species